AGCUCCAAUAGCAUACAUUAAAGUUGUUGCAGUUAAGAAGCUCGUAGUUGGAUUUCUGGCAGGAGUGACCGGUCACACACUCUUUGUGUGAACUUGUGUUGUCUCUGGCCAUCCUUGGGGAGAUCCUGUUUGGCAUUAAGUUGUCGGGCAGGGGAUACUCAUCGUUUACUGUGAAAAAAUUGAGUGUUUAAAGCAGGCUUAUGCCGUUGAAUAUAUUAACAUUGAAUAAUGAGAUAGGACUUCGGAACUAUUUUGUUGGUUUGCGUUACGAAGUAAUGAUUAAUAUGGACAGUUGGGGGUAUUCGUAUUUCGUGGUCAGAGGUGAAAUUCUUGGAUUUCCGAAAGACGAACUACUGCGAAAGCAUUUACCAAGGAUGUUUUCA
rnacentral:rRNA from 1 species